rnacentral:rRNA from 1 species
AAAGAUUAAGCCAUGCAUGUCUAAGUAUAAGCAAUUAUACAGCGAAACUGCGAAUGGCUCAUUAUAUAAGUUAUCGUUUAUUUGAUAGUACCUUACUACUUGGAUAACCGUGGUAAUUCUAGAGCUAAUACAUGCUAAAAAUCCCGACUUCGGAAGGGAUGUAUUUAUUAGAUUAAAAACCAAUGCCCUCUGGGCUCUCUGGUGAUUCAUGAUAACUUCUCGAAUCGCAUGGCCUUGCGCCGGCGAUGGUUCAUUCAAAUUUCUUCCCUAUCAACUUUCGAUGUUUGGGUAUUGGCCAAACAUGGUCGCAACGGGUAACGGAGGGUUAGGGCUCGACCCCGGAGAAGGAGCCUGAGAAACGGCUACUACAUCCAAGGAAGGCAGCAGGCGCGCAAAUUACCCAAUCCCGACACGGGGAGGUAGUGACAAUAAAUACUGAUACAGGGCUCUUUCGGGUCUUGUAAUUGGAAUGAGUACAAUUUAAAUCCCUUAACGAGGAACAAUUGGAGGGCAAGUCUGGUGCCAGCAGCCGCGGUAAUUCCAGCUCCAAUAGCGUAUAUUAAAGUUGUUGUGGUUAAAAAGCUCGUAGUUGAACCUUGGGCCUGGCUGGCCGGUCCGCCUCACCGCGUGUACUGGUCCGGCCGGGCCUUUCCCUCUGUGGAACCUCAUGCCCUUCACUGGGCGUGACGGGGAAACAGGACUUUUACUGUGAAAAAAUUAGAGUGCUCCAGGCAGGCCUAUGCUCGAAUACAUUAGCAUGGAAUAAUGAAAUAGGACGUGCGGUUCUAUUUUGUUGGUUUCUAGGACCGCCGUAAUGAUUAAUAGGGGCAGUCGGGGGCAUCAGUAUUCAAUUGUCAGAGGUGAAAUUCUUGGAUUUAUUGAAGACUAACUACUGCGAAAGCAUUUGCCAAGGAUGUUUUCAUUAAUCAGGAACGAAAGUUAGGGGAUCGAAGACGAUCAGAUACCGUCGUAGUCUUAACCAUAAACUAUGCCGACUAGGGAUCGGACGAUGUAAAUAAUUGACUCGUUCGGCACCUUACGAGAAAUCAAAGUGUUUGGGCUCCAGGGGGAGUAUGGUCGCAAGGCUGAAACUUAAAGAAAUUGACGGAAGGGCACCACCAGGGGUGGAGCCUGCGGCUUAAUUUGACUCAACACGGGGAAACUCACCAGGUCCAGACACAAUGAGGAUUGACAGAUUGAGAGCUCUUUCUUGAUUUUGUGGGUGGUGGUGCAUGGCCGUUCUUAGUUGGUGGAGUGAUUUGUCUGCUUAAUUGCGAUAACGAACGAGACCUUAACCUGCUAAAUAGCCCGUAUUGCUUUGGCAGUACGCUGGCUUCUUAGAGGGACUAUCGGCUCAAGCCGAUGGAAGUUUGAGGCAAUAACAGGUCUGUGAUGCCCCUAGAUGUUCUGGGCCGCACGCGCGCUACACUGACGGAGCCAGCGAGUACUUCCUUGGCCGAAAGGCCCGGGUAAUCUUGUUAAACUCCGUCGUGCUGGGGAUAGAGCAUUGCAAUUAUUGCUCUUCAACGAGGAAUCCCUAGUAAGCGCAAGUCAUCAGCUUGCGUUGAUUACGUCCCUGCCCUUUGUACACACCGCCCGUCGCUACUACCGAUUGAAUGGCUCAGUGAGGCGUCCGGACUGGCCCAGGGAGGUGGGCAACUACCACCCAGGGCCGGAAAGCUCUCCAAACUCGGUCAUUUAGAGGAAGUAAAAGUCGUAACAAGGUCUCCGUUGGUGAACCAGCGGAGGGAUCAUUAUCGAGUUUAUCAACUCCCAACCCUAUGUGAACCUACCUUUAUGUUGCUUCGGCGGUGCCGCGCCGGGUUGCCCCCAGCGGGCUCCCGGGACCACGCGCCCGCCGGAGACCACAAACUCUUGAUUUUGCGAAAGCAGUAUUCUUCUGAGUGGCCGAAAGGCAAAAAACAAAUGAAUCAAAACUUUCAACAACGGAUCUCUUGGUUCUGGCAUCGAUGAAGAACGCAGCGAAAUGCGAUAAGUAAUGUGAAUUGCAGAAUUCAGUGAAUCAUCGAAUCUUUGAACGCACAUUGCGCCCGCCAGCAUUCUGGCGGGCAUGCCUGUUCGAGCGUCAUUUCAACCCUCGAGCUCGUCUUCAUUGACGAGAUCGGUGUUGGGACCCGGCAAAGCGGACCCAGUCCGGCGCCGGCCCCGAAAUUCAGUGGCGGCCCGUUGCGGCGACCUCUGCGUAGUAACUUAACCUCGCAGUGGAAGAGCAGCGCGGCCACGCCGUAAAACCCCCGACUUUUUUAAGGUUGACCUCGAAUCAGGUAGGACUACCCGCUGAACUUAA